rnacentral:tRNA from 1 species
GGAGUAGUACUCAAGUGGCUGAAGAGGUGCCCCUGCUAAGGGUAUAGGUCGUUGACGCGGCGCGAGAGUUCAAAUCUCUCCUACUCCGCCA